GAUGAACGCUGGCGGCGUGCCUAAUACAUGCAAGUCGAGCGAACAGAUGAGGAGCUUGCUCCUCUGACGUUAGCGGCGGACGGGUGAGUAACACGUGGAUAACCUACCUAUAAGACUGGGAUAACUUCGGGAAACCGGAGCUAAUACCGGAUAAUAUAUUGAACCGCAUGGUUCAAUAGUGAAAGACGGUUUUGCUGUCACUUAUAGAUGGAUCCGCGCCGCAUUAGCUAGUUGGUAAGGUAACGGCUUACCAAGGCGACGAUGCGUAGCCGACCUGAGAGGGUGAUCGGCCACACUGGAACUGAGACACGGUCCAGACUCCUACGGGAGGCAGCAGUAGGGAAUCCUCCGCAAUGGGCGAAAGCCUGACGGAGCAACGCCGCGUGAGUGAUGAAGGUCUUCGGAUCGUAAAACUCUGUUAUUAGGGAAGAACAAAUGUGUAAGUAACUAUGCACGUCUUGACGGUACCUAAUCAGAAAGCCACGGCUAACUACGUG
rnacentral:rRNA from 1 species